UCGAAACCUGCCCAGCAGAACGACCAGCGAACAUGUUUACACAUUGCAUGGGGAGGGGUUGCUGGCCCGCCAGUCCCUUUCCAACGCUUGGGGGCAAUCCUUUAGGGGUGCUCCCUGGCACAAUAACGAACCCCGGCGCGCAUGCGCCAAGGAACAUAAACACGAGUGUGCCUAUCCUUGCCCGGGAAACCGGCGCAUGGAUGCGGCACCCAUUCUAAGUCAUAAAACGACUCUCGGCAACGGAUAUCUCGGCUCUCGCAUCGAUGAAGAACGUAGCGAAAUGCGAUACUUGGUGUGAAUUGCAGAAUCCCGUGAACCAUCGAGUUUUUGAACGCAAGUUGCGCCCGAAGCCUUCCGGCCAGGGCACGUCUGCCUGGGCGUCACGCAUAGCGUCUCCCCCACCCCACCUACUGUGGGGAGGGAGAGGAUGAUGGCCUCCCAAGCCUCACCGGGCAUGGAUGGCCUAAAUAAGGAGCCCCCGGACACGAGAUGCCGUGGCGAUUGGUGGUACAAAAGGCUGCUGCCUAAAAAGCAUCGCGCCGGGCAUCACGUAGCUUAUGUGGGCUCGUAGGACCCCUACAAACCUUUGCGACCCCAGGUCAGGCGGGGU
rnacentral:rRNA from 1 species